rnacentral:rRNA from 1 species
GCUUUUUGUUGUUUAAAGGUAGUUUCUGCUCGGUGUUUAUUAACAGCCGCGGUACUUUGACCGUGCAAAGGUAGCAUAAUCAUUUGCCUCGUGAUUGGGGGCUAGAAUGAAUGAAUUCAUGAGGGUUUUACUUUAUUAAGAAAAUCAUAAUAAUUUUCUAUCUUAGUGAAGAAGCUAAGAUAAAAAAGGGGACAAGAAGACCCUUUUGAGCUUUACUUUUUUACUUUAUGAAAAAAAAAAGUUUGGUUGGGGCGACCAAGGAUUAUCUUCCUUUAAAAUUGUGAUCCGCUUUUGGCGAUUAAAAGAGCAAGUUACCAAAGGGAUAACAGCGUAAUCUUUUCUGAGAGUUCUUAUUAAAUAAAAGGAUUGCGACCUCGAUGUUGACUUAUAGUUACUACUUAAUGCAGCAGUUAAGUUAGUGGGUCUGUUCGACCUUUAAAACUUU